GUACGGUGGAGGGCUAGCGUUGUUCGGAAUUACUGGGCGUAAAGCGCGCGUAGGCGGCUUUGUAAGUUAGAGGUGAAAGCCCGGAGCUCAACUCCGGAAUUGCCUUUAAGACUGCAUCGCUAGAAUCAUGGAGAGGUUAGUGGAAUUCCGAGUGUAGAGGUGAAAUUCGUAGAUAUUCGGAAGAACACCAGUGGCGAAGGCGACUAACUGGACAUGUAUUGACGCUGAGGUGCGAAAAGCGUGGGUAGCAAACAGG
rnacentral:rRNA from 1 species